rnacentral:rRNA from 1 species
UACAGAGGUGGCAAGCGUUGUUCGGAAUUACUGGGCGUAAAGCGCGUGUAGGCGGCUCUUCAAGUCAGGCGUGAAAGCCCCGGGCUCAACUCGGGAACUGCGCUUGAUACUGUCGAGCUAGAGUGUGGAAGGGGCGAUUGGAAUUCCGUGUGUAGCGGUGGAAUGCGUAGAGAUCCGGAAGAACACCAGUGGCGAAGGCGGCCCGCUGGGCAGUGGCUGACGCUGAGGCGCGACAGCGUGGGGAGCAAACAGG